UGACACUGACACUGAGGUGCGAAAGCGUGGGUAGCAAACAGGAUUAGAUACCCUGGUAGUCCACGCCGUAAACGAUGUCGACCAGCCGUUGGGUGCCUAGCGCACUUUGUGGCGAAGUUAACGCGAUAAGUCGACCGCCUGGGGAGUACGGCCGCAAGGUUAAAACUCAAAUGAAUUGACGGGGGCCCGCACAAGCGGUGGAGCAUGUGGUUUAAUUCGAUGCAACGCGAAGAACCUUACCUACUCUUGACAUCCUGCGAACUUGUGAGAGAUCACUUGGUGCCUUCGGGAGCGCAGAGACAGGUGCUGCAUGGCUGUCGUCAGCUCGUGCUGUGAAAUGUUGGGUUAAGUCCCGUAACGAGCGCAACCCUUGUCCUUAUUUGCCAGCGGGUAAUGCCGGGAACUCUAAGGAGACUGCCGGUGACAAACCGGAGGAAGGUGGGGACGACGUCAAGUCAUCAUGGCCCUUACGAGUAGGGCUACACACGUGCUACAAUGGCCGGUACAAAGGGUUGCGAGCUCGCGAGAGUCAGCUAAUCCCGAAAAGCCGGUCUCAGUCCGGAUCGGAGUCUGCAACUCGACUCCGUGAAGUCGGAAUCGCUAGUAAUCGUGAAUCAGAAUGUCACGGUGAAUACGUUCCCGGGCCUUGUACACACCGCCCGU
rnacentral:rRNA from 1 species